GACGAACGCUGGCGGCGUGCUUAACACAUGCAAGUCGAACGGAAAGGCCUGCUUUCCCUUGUGGAUUGCGGGUACUCGAGUGGCGAACGGGUGAGUAACACGUGAGUGAUCUGCCCCCAACUUGGGUAUAAGCCUGGGAAACUGGGUCUAAUUCCCGAUAGGACUGCAGGGUGGUGCCUGUGGUGGAAAACGAUUUUCUAGUGGUUGGGGAUGAGCUCGCGGCCUAUCAGCUUGUUGGUGGGGUAAUGGCCUACCAAGGCGGCGACGGGUAGCCGGCCUGAGAGGGUGGACGGCCACAGUGGGACUGAGAUACGGCCCAGACUCCUACGGGAGGCAGCAGUGGGGAAUAUUGCACAAUGGGCGGAAGCCUGAUGCAGCGACGCCGCGUGGGGGAUGACGGCCUUCGGGUUGUAAACUCCUUUCGACCGCGAGGAAGCCACCUGGUUGGAAGGGUGGUGACGGUAGUGGUAGAAGAAGCACCGGCGAACUACGU
rnacentral:rRNA from 1 species